rnacentral:rRNA from 1 species
AAAAUAUAAGUUAACUGAAUUAUAGAAUUAAGGGAUUAAGUUUGGAGUGAUUUUAAUAAAAAUAUUUUUAGUUAUAUGACUGUUAGUGAGUAUUGUAAAAAGAAAAAAUUAGUUGAGUUAUAGAUGUUUAUGUACUGUGAAGGACUAUGUGAAAUAAAAUAAAAUUUUAUUUUAAUAAAAGUAGAUUUUGUUAAUCGUACCUUGUGUAUCAGGGUUAAUCAAAAAUAUUCUAUGGAUAUUGGAUUUUCCCGAUUUGAAGAGAGCUAAUUUAAUUUGUUGGUUAAUGUGGAAUAAUUAUCAAUGAGGUUAAAUUAGAAAUUAAACGUUAUUCGUUCUUCAAGAUAUCUGGUUUCUUAAGAAAUGAAUUUAAUUCAGUUAUUUAAUUUUAUGGGGAAAUUUAUAGUUUUAAACUGUAUGAUUAAAUAAAAAUAGGUUGGGGGAUAAGCUUCGGCCUAGGAUCCAAAAUUUAUAUAUAGACAAUAAAGAUUAUUUAGGCUUAGAAGUAGCUAUAAUUUGGAAAGUGUUAUAACUUAAUUUUGUUGUAAUGAAAUUUUUAAUGAUUUGGGAUGAUGAGUUUAUUAAGAUUUUAUCUAGAAUAGUAAAGGAUGAGAAAUAAUGAUUAAAUUAGUAUAAAUAGUAGAUUGUUUAGAUAAACUAUAGUAAGAUUAGUUUACAGUAAGGAACUAGGCAAAUAAAUGCUCGCCUGUUUAACAAAAACAUGGCUUCUUGAAAAUAAUUUGAGGUCUGACCUGCCCACUGAUAAAAUUAAAGGGCCGCGGUAUUUUGACCGUGCAAAGGUAGCAUAAUCAUUAGUCUUUUAAUUGGAGGCUGGAAUGAAUGGUUGGACGAGGUAUUGACUGUCUCAUUGUGAAUGGUGUUAGAAUUUAACUUUUGAGUGAAAAGGCUUAAAUAAAUUUAAAGGACGAGAAGACCCUAUAGAUCUUUAUAUUAAUUAAUAAGUAAUAAUUUAGUUGGAUUUUUUUGCUAGAAUGAUUAAUAUUUUAUUGGGGUGAUAGGAAGAUAUAAAAAACUCUUUUGAAUAUAGAUACAAUGAUUUUUGAAUAUUUGAUCCGUUAAUAACGAUUUUAAGAUUAAGUUACCUUAGGGAUAACAGCGUAAUCUUUUUUGAGAGUUCUUAUCGACAAAAAGGGUUGCGACCUCGAUGUUGGAUUAAGGUAAAAGUUGGAUGCAGAAGUUCAAGUUUUUAGGUCUGUUCGACCUUUAAAUCCUUACAUGAUCUGAGUUCAGACCGGCGUAAGCCAGGUCGGUUUCUAUCCUUAAAUCGAAAAUGAAUAUUUUAGUACGAAAGGACCAAAUAUUGAAAUUAUUUUUUAUUAUGAGAUUAAUAAUAAUACG